UUGGAGGGCAAGUCUGGUGCCAGCAGCCGCGGUAAUUCCAGCUCCAAUAGCGUAUAUUAAAGUUGUUGCAGUUAAAAAGCUCGUAGUUGAAUUUCGGGAUCAAUUUAUUGGUCGUGCUAUUGUACGUACUGGUAUUAUUGAUUCCUACCUUCUGACGAACCAUGAUGUCAUUAAUUUGGUGUCUUGGGGAAUCAGGACUGUUACUUUGAAAAAAUUAGAGUGUUUAAAGCAGGC
rnacentral:rRNA from 1 species